GCUACAGCCCUGGCGUCGGGGGGCCUGGGAUGAGCCGCUGUAGGCAGGAGGGGAGUGGUCAGUAUGAAGUGGCGGGUCCCUAAUAGGUCUUUAAGACGAGCCCAGCGCGGGAAGUACCCUCUGGGGGAGGCUGGUGGGCUGAGAAAGGACAAGUAAAAAAUGGAAUUAGGGGCCUGACUCCGUGGCAAAGCGAUGGGGAGAAACAGAGAAAGGGAUGAUCUUGUUGGGGGGAGAAAUUGGGGCUAGAGAGUGGGAGAGAUUGGAUUACUUGUGGACCAGACGGGAUAGGAGCUGUGUGGUGUGUGUGAGUGUAGGGGGUGGGGGUGGUGAGGAGUACUCUGGGGUCUGGGGAGGUGCAGUGGGGUCAGGAGACUGUGGGGUGAAAAUGAAGACCGCUGAAUGGGAAGGGGGAACAGAGACAUUUGGGAUCAAGCCAUUCCAGACCAGAGCCAUCUUCCUGCCCCAGCUCUGAACCCCAUCUCUCCGGCCUCAUUUCUUUGACCUGGGUCAGAGCUUUGCUCAUGGUGUCCGCUUUCAUGGUGCAGCGGAGUUCACACUAGCUAGCGUUCUGGUAGGUGGAAUGGUAGCACUGCCCCAUCACUCCUGGGCCUCCCCCAUCUUUGCUGAGUUUCCCCUUUCACAUUUUGUCCUUCCUAAGUAGUUGGAGUCUACUUCCUAGGUCAAUUACUAGCUAUAGCUGAGGGCACAGAGGAGCAGGUGGCUGUACAAAGCCACUUUCAGGCUGUGGACACAGGGCUGAGAAAUGGAAACCCGCCAGUGCCCAUUCCAGCUUUGACUUGGCUGAGGCAGCCUUGGGUCAAGGCCUCUCUGUAGUCCUGGUUUCCACCAACAUCAGGAAGGGGAGCUGCAAGAGCCAUCUAGGCAGGCACCCCAGGACUGUGCCAGUGAAUGUGAGGAUGGACUUGCUCUAAGGAAAAGCUGUUUGCUUGCCAACACUGGCCACUGGUGACAAAGGAAACGGCAAAUCUGAGAAGACUUCCAGUGAGGCACUAGUCAAGAGCUGAAAUAUUCCCUGCCUGCUGUCUCUUACUCUAUGCUCACACUCUGUGAGAGGCCACUUUGUGAUUCCAUGGAGUCCCAUUGGAGAGGUAACAAAUACCCCAUGAAGGAGCUCUAGAAAGAGGACAUUGAUUUGGAAGUGUACAGACUAGUGCCUGCUGGUUCCUGGGCCACUUGUACCCCAUGGCUGAGAUGACAGACGCCACCUAACAGCCUAAGUCACAGCACAGAGACAAAGUGGAAUUUCAGAGCCCUCAGCAUCAAAAACAAGUCACCCAAGCUAAACCUCUGCGUGGUAUGUGGUAGGGCUUCUGGGUAGGUGCAGCCCAUGAUUCUGAUGUUGAAACAAAUUGUAGUUACGGCAAUAAGAUGUCCAAAGGAAGGACUCAGACAGUUGGGUGUCUGCAAGCAGGCUACUCCUGUGAUACCAACAGCCUUGACAUCUCAGUGCUGCUAACGGGUAAACUGAGAAGCAUCCGAACUGGGCACUUAGCCCUCUCAUACUUCCUUGCACCUGAGCAGAGCUCAUCUCCCAAGAGCACACCCGCCUGAAGCCCAGCCUGAGAUGCGCCAUGAACCUCUCUGCGAGUGACAGCCCCUGAGCCAUCUGGAAAGAGCGCUUCCUAGACUUAGAGUGGAAGUCACGGCUUCCCCCAAGAUGCAGGUGCUGACUGUGAGCUGGCUCCCAGGCUCUCCUUUCAGCUGUCCAUUUUGGAAACCUGUCAACUGGAACACACCUCCCAAUACCCAACGGAGUAUCUCCUCAAGGGCACUCUCUAAUACAUUUCCUAUUUAGGCUGUGCUGGUGAUGUCCUAUAUUUUUACCCUCUUCUACCCAGCUCCAUAGAUACCUGGCAGAAAAGUUAGCUUCUACCCUGAGGUCUCCUUAAAGAACUGCUAGCCAGAAAAGAUCUGCUGAUCAUUGAGGAAGAACUUCUUAAGAGUAAGAGAUUUUCAGCCUUGUUUCUGAAAUAAAAAGAUCUAAGUGUUGGCUUUAUGAAGGAGGAAAUAAAGAGAAACCCUUUUCUCCCGUCCUUCAACUGGUCUAGAAGUCACACAAGGAGUCGCAUGUAUCUAGAAGUCACACAAGGAUCCAAAUCAAAAGCAAAGCAAAUACAAACAAGCAAAACCAUCAACAUAUCCAUUCCAUGAAGUGCAUUUCUUAGUCCAGCUUGUACUGGUUUGGUCCAGCAUGAAGGCCAAGUGCUCCUGGUUUAGAACUUGCAGGAAAGUUCACAAAUCCAAGUAAGCUGCCCAAAGGGAUACUCCAGAUGGAUCACUACCAAUACAUUCAUAAGAAAGCACUGGAGCUUCUCCAAAUAGAAUUUACUUCCAAGUUUGCAGUCCACGAAGGUUUCACGUAAUCAUUUGGUCCACGUCAUCAUUUAAACUCAGAAGCAUUCACACCGUUACAUCUCUACACUUUCUAAUAUUCUACACAACCUUUAAAGGAGUGUUUCUCUGCAUCUUUCAUUCUGUGGACAUUGCCCACCCCCUCCAAAAUAAUUCCUACGUUUUUCAAUCUUUGGAAGCUUCUCCUCUGAGAGGCCUCCAGAGGCCCAACUUUAAUAGAAUCUGAGGAAAAAAGCUGGCCAGUCUAUGUGCUAUCCACAGUGAUGCCAAACUCUGACUCCUGGAGCCAGUUCUCCCUGCAGGGCAGUCAGGAAACAAGUGAGCAAGAAGUAACCUCAGAAGAAACAAACUUCAGGAGAAUGUGCACUGAGAAAAGCCAGACUGCGUCCCUCUGAAUCAAGUUAAUUAAAAAACAAUUAAACAUGACAGUAUAUUGGAACCAAAACCAAAUAAUACCAUGAGGGCAGGUUUCUCCAUAGCCCAGAGAAGACACAGUUCCUUUUCAACUAAAAAUAGAAAGCCACCAGAACAUAAGCCAAGAAGCACGGAUUUGUGUCUGGCCCUCGGGAUUCAACAGUUCCCGGCACCCUGCGACAGGACAUCAGGCAACAGGCUAGGAGUUUGGCCAACAAGUUCUUACACGCCUCACAAUUAUGCUAAGAGCUUGCAGAUAUCUAGCUGGAGGCUCAAGGACCCAAGUGAAAACAUUAGGUUUUUUGCCCACUCCGCAGCGUAAGGCGAGAGGUCAUCUGCCCAGGGAGUGCCCUCGUGUCCUGGCACUAUCUCUUAAUUGGCAUAACACUGGUAACCAGGUUGGCUUCUACACCCAGCAGUGCCCGUGUGGUUGGCGCCAUCUGAAUUUAAAGCAUUCUCUGGCCCUCUGUGUUCUUGGGAGAGCCCUGAAUCGCUCAUGGGCACCUAGGACGGGAGUGCAGGAGGAUUCCCCAAACGCAUGGCAAGCGCGAGGGGCGUCGGCCGCCUUCUCAGAGCAGGCCCAUGCAAUGGCCACGGAAAGAGCAGCGCUGAGACGGAUCGGCGACCGGGCGGAAAGGUGCCAGGCUCGCCCCGGGUGCCCACUCCUCCUGGCAGCCCCCGGAAGCGCCGCCCUCCGGCCCUGCGGGCUCCGAGGGGGCGGGGAGUCUAACGCCCCCUUCCGGGUGCCUCCGCCCGGCUGGCCAGCCCCGCUCCUCCUCCGGGCGGGAAUCCUCCCUCCCCCGCCCCUCCCGGAGCCGGGCCCCGGCGCCAGGCCCGGCCCCAGGGGGGAACCCCCGGCUUCGGCUCCCCCUCCCUGCGGCCUCUGCCCGUCUUCCUGACCCUUGGGGGCCGGGAAGACCCCACCGGCAGCGGCCAGG